rnacentral:rRNA from 1 species
GACACGGCCCGAACUCCUACGGGAGGCAGCAGUGGGGAAUAUUGGACAAUGGGGGCAACCCUGAUCCAGCCAUGCCGCGUGUGUGAAGAAGGCUUUCGGGUUGUAAAGCACUUUCAGUGAGGAGGAAAACUCUGCGACUAAUACUCGUAGGGCUUGACGUUACUCACAGAAGAAGCACCGGCUAACUCCGUGCCAGCAGCCGCGGUAAUACGGAGGGUGCAAGCGUUAAUCGGAAUUACUGGGCGUAAAGCGCGCGUAGGUGGUUUGAUAAGCGAGAUGUGAAAGCCCCGGGCUUAACCUGGGAACGGCAUUUCGAACUGUCAGGCUAGAGUGUGGUAGAGGGUAGUGGAAUUUCCUGUGUAGCGG